AAUAGUUUUUUCAUACUCGAAGAUUUUUUUGUAAUCCAAACUCAAAGUAUGAGUGUAUAAUAGUCGUGAAUUAGUUAAUGAUUUGAGUAGUUUAUUUUUUAAAUUGAUAUUUAUAUAAUAAAUCAUCGAGGGUACAUAAUACGUACGGAGCUCCGAUCCAUCAUCAAAUUCUUAUGUUUCUAAUUACGAACACUACCCUCUGUUAAAUUGGUUUAAGAUGAACGUUGUUUAUGAAUGAUGUGUAUGAUGCAUUAUUGAGAAUGUUGUUAGAAAAAAAAUAUUUUAAUACUGAAAUAAUUUUUUAUUGCAUGAGUGAAUGAUUAGAUAAAUAAAAAUUAUAUUUAAAUUAAACAAUACAAAAGAAUCCGAAAAAACUGCGACGUAUCGAGAGUGAUCACCUAAUAUAUAUUAUAGUUAAUAGAAAAACUUCCAGAAAAUAUAAUAGAAAUACAGUUGAACCAAACCGAACCGGGUUAGGUCCGUACGAUGAAAUCGGCCAGCAAAAUCAAACAAAAUUAUGGAAAUAUAUAACAAUAAUAAUAUAGAAAAAUGUAAACUAGGAAAAAAUGAAAAUAGCAGAAAUAAUGGAAAGGAAUAGCUAACGGGAAAUUUUGACUCUUUUCAUCACACUAUAUAUAUUGACACACACUCCUUUUUGUUAUUGCUUCAAAAAGAAAAAAAAAGAAUAAUUGUAAGCUAUGGGCUUCACAAGUUUGUACUCUCUCUAUGGAAAAUCCAAGGUUCUGAAAUCAAUUAGUUUUUCCGCUCUCAACAGUAAAACUCUCGCAAUUGACGCUUCAAUGUGGUUAUACAGAGGUGCUUUAAAUAAUGCCCGGAAAUUCUUGGAGGAACCAACUACACCCAACUCUGAACAUAUAAUGUUUGUCAUCAAAAAAGUCAAACAAUUCAUCGACCGUAAUGUGAAUCCUAUUCUUGUUUUCGAUGGACAUCGUUUACCUAUUAAGUCACCGCGGAACCCAAUAAAAACUCUAGAAUACGCAAAGGAUCUUGACGCAUCAGCACAACUUAUGGCUCCCGAUGACCCUAAGAGAAAGGACAAAGAGAAGAAUGCUACUAAGAUCUUUCAAAGUCAUAUACACAUCACGCCUUAUGUGAUACAUGUUUUCAUUGAGGUAACAUUUACGGUAAAUAAUUAUUUUUAAGAAUUUUCACUUCUUUCUAAUUUUUUAUUAACCUUUCUUUUUUCUCCCAUUGAAGGUUUAA
rnacentral:sRNA from 1 species